rnacentral:rRNA from 1 species
AUUGAACGCUGGCGGCAUGCUUUACACAUGCAAGUCGAACGGCAGCGCGGGCUUCGGCCUGGCGGCGAGUGGCGAACGGGUGAGUAAUACAUCGGAACGUGCCCAGUAGUGGGGGAUAGCUCGGCGAAAGCCGGAUUAAUACCGCAUACGACCUGAGGGUGAAAGCGGGGGAUCUUCGGACCUCGCGCUAUUGGAGCGGCCGAUGGCAGAUUAGCUAGUUGGUGGGGUAAAGGCCUACCAAGGCGACGAUCUGUAGCUGGUCUGAGAGGACGACCAGCCACACUGGGACUGAGACACGGCCCAGACUCCUACGGGAGGCAGCAGUGGGGAAUUUUGGACAAUGGGCGAAAGCCUGAUCCAGCAAUGCCGCGUGUGUGAUGAAGGCCUUCGGGUUGUAAAGCACUUUUGGCGGGAACGAAAAGGACUGCGCCAAUACCACGGUUCGAUGACGGUACCCGCAGAAUAAGCACCGGCUAACUACG